GCCCGGGUGGUGAAAUUGGUAGACACAGCAGACUUAAAAUCUGCCGCUGAGAGAUCGGCGUACCGGUUCGAUUCCGGUCCCGGGCA
rnacentral:tRNA from 1 species